AUUGAACGCUGGCGGCAGGCCUAACACAUGCAAGUCGAACGAGUGGCGGACGGGUGAGUAAUGUCUGGGAAACUGCCUGAUGGAGGGGGAUAACUACUGGAAACGGUAGCUAAUACCGCAUACCCUCAGAUGUGCCCAGAUGGGAUUAGAUUGUUGGUUGGGUAACGGCUCACCAAGGAGACGAUCCCUAGCUGGGCUGAGAGGAUGACCAGCACCACUGGAACUGAGACAAGUUCCAGACUCCUACGUGAGGCAGCAGUGGGUAAUAUUGCACAAUGGGCGCAAGCCUGAUGCAGCCAGGCCGCGUGUAUGAAGAAGGCCUUCGGGUUGUAAAGUACUUUCAGCGGGGAGGCGUUACCCGCAGAAGAAGCACCGGCUAACUCCGUGCCAGCAGCCGCGGUAAUUC
rnacentral:rRNA from 1 species